AAUAGGAGAAUGACAAAUCAGAUUUUUCCUCUUGAUUUUCAGCCUUUUCCUCCUGAAAAAAAUUCAAAUCUAACUAAAAAUGCUAAAAAUCGAGAGGAAAAAGUUGAUUUUUCAUUCUCCUAUU
rfam:Gossypium raimondii Chr03_contig_152, whole genome shotgun sequence.